AUUUUACAAUUGAAGAAACAGAGGCCUAGAGACAUUGAGUCACUUGCGCAAGGUCACACAGCUGGCCAGUGGCAGAGCCAGCCUUUGAACCUGAGCCUUCUGGUUGCAGAGCUACGGCUUUUAGGCACUGUGCUGAGGGCCUCCAGAAUGACACAGAUGUGGCCUCGAGUUACACACGGAGGCAGGUUGAGGGUGACCCCCACCAGGCCUACCCAAGGCUGGGUAUUAAUAAUCACAGUGCAUACACCAGGCCCAGGGAGGUUGAGCCACUCGUCCAAGCUCACACAGCAAGCUCACAGCACACUCAGGCUGUCAUGCAGCCUGGGCUACCCCCUUAACCCUGCCUGGCCCCUGCAGCUAACAGAGACAUGGCAUCCAUCGUGUCUGAGAUCAUGAUGUAUGUGCUCAUUGUGGUGUUGACCAUAUGGCUCGUGGCAGAGAUGAUUUACUGCUACAAGAAGAUCGCUGCCGCCACGGAGACUGCUGCACAAGAGAAUGCCUCGGAAUACCUGGCCAUCACCUCCGAAAGCAAAGAGAACUGCACGGGCGUCCAGGUGGCCGAAUAGCCCUGGUAAGGCGGAUGGGCGGGCAGAGGGGAAGGGGAUUGGGAGGGGCCGAAGUCCC
rnacentral:lncRNA from 1 species